GUAGUCAUAGUUUGACACUUGUGAGUGAGUCCCCAAGGUGGAGGUGUCGGCAGUGAGAGUGGGGAGAGCAGAGGAAGAAAGAAACGCACCGACAAAAUUCGGAAGAGUCAUUGUGACCGAACAGUCAAACCGAACAGUCGCGCAAAAAUUAAUAGCAAAGCACAGAUUCAUAAAAUAUUCGGAGAAACGAGUGACGGUGACCGAGGUCUCGCUGCCAAGCAGAAUUUUCCACCGAGGAGGGAUUUGUACCAGUGACGACGACAAGGAGUUGUAGCUCUUCGAGGGAGUUCAUUAACGUC